GCUUCGUCGGCUGCUGGGAGGGCUGCCUCGGCUCGGGUUAUGGAAUUUCCUUCUCCUUCCUUUGCUUAGUCCAGUAAGGUAACCAUUUUCUUCCCUUCCUUUGCUUAGUCCAGUAAGGGUUUAUGGAAUUUGUGAAUUUCCUGGGAUAGCAUUGUGCUGAAAAUUGCUAAAUGUUCCUGGAAUGCAGAUGUAUUAAAGACUAGUCAUGGAGGAAAUUAAGGAGAUGGAAGAAAUUUUUAUGGAAGAGGCCAGCAGGUAUAAUGUUUGUGUUAUUCUUGUGUGGUUGUCUCUCAAUUUAGUUCAUAAGACGAUGUGGGUGAUUAGAUAAAUGUGUAUUAUUUUUCAUGUGAUUUGUAGGCCAAUUGUUAAUGAGUUGAGACUAGUCGUUAGAGUUUGGUCAUUCUUCAGCAUGCCGGACUUGUAAUAUGUGGGACACUUUGAGAUGGUAUGGUUGUAUGUUUUUGUGAUAUUUUGGAUAUGGUAAUAUGUGAACUAAUUUGAGAUGAUAUGGCUGUCUAUUUUGUGAUAUUUUGGAC
rnacentral:lncRNA from 1 species